rnacentral:rRNA from 1 species
UACGUAGGUGGCAAGCGUUGUCCGGAUUUACUGGGUGUAAAGGGCGUGCAGCCGGGAAGGCAAGUCAGAUGUGAAAUCUGGAGGCUCAACCUCCAAACUGCAUUUGAAACUGUGGGACUUGAGUGAAGUAGAGGUAGGUGGAAUUCCCGGUGUAGCGGUGAAAUGCGUAGAGAUCUGGAGGAAUACCGGUGGCGAAGGCGGCCCCCUGGACAAAGACUGACGCUCAGGUGCGAAAGCGUAGGGAGCAAAC